AUUUGAGUUAUUAUUUUAUUUUAAAUUAAAUAAGUAAAUUUUAUUUUUAUUAUUUAUUAAGAAAAAAUUUAAAUUAUUAUAGUUAAUUAGUAUUGUGAAAGAAAUAUUUUAAUAUUUAUUUAAGAAUAAUUAAUUUUUAGUACCUUGUGUAUCAGGGAUUAUUAAUUAAAAUUUAAUUUAUAUUAAAGUUCUCGAUUUUAAAAGAGUUAAUUAUUUAUAAAUUUUAUUGUAAAAUAAAUAUUUAAAAUAAAUAAUUAGUAAUGAAAUGUUAUUCGUUUUUAAAUAUAUCUAGUUUUUUAAGAAAUUAAUUUAAUUAAGAUUAAAUGAUUUAUUUAUAUUAAUAUAAAUUAUAAAAUAAUUAUUUGAUUAAUAUUAGUAGGGAUAAGCUUAUUAAUAAAUUAUUAUAAAUUAUUAAUUAUUAAUUAUUAUGUAGGAUUAGAAAUUUUCAUCUAUUAAUUUGUUAUAAUAAAUUAAUUUAUUAUAAAAAUUUUUAUAUAAUUUUAGUUAUUUUAUUAAAAUAAUUAAUUUAAUAUUUUAAUUAAGAUAAUAAUGAUAAUAUUAGUAUAAUUUAAUUUAAUUUUUUAUUAUUAAAUUUAUGUUGAAUUAAGGAAUUCGGCAAUUUUAAAUUUUUCGCCUGUUUAUUAAAAACAUGUCUUUUUGAAUUUUAUUUAAAGUUUGACCUGCCCAAUGAAAUUUUAAUGGCCGCAGUAUUUUGACUGUGCAAAGGUAGCAUAAUCAUUAGUUUUUUAAUUAAAAGCUUGUAUGAAAGGUUGGACGAGAAAAUAACUGUCUUAAUUUAAAUUUUUUAGAAUUUUAUUUUUAAGUAAAAAAGCUUAAAUAUAUUUAAAAGACGAGAAGACCCUAUAGAGUUUUAUAUUUUAUUAUUUAUUUAGUAAAUUUAGAAUUUUUUUUAUUAUUAAAUUGUUAAUAUUUAAUUGGGGUGAUUAAAAAAUUUAAAUAACUUUUUUUUUAUAAAACAUAUAUUUAUGAAUUAAUGAUCCAAAAAUUGUUGAUUAAAAGAUUUAAUUACCUUAGGGAUAACAGCGUAAUUUUUUUUAAGAGUUCAAAUCGAUAAAAAAGUUUGCGACCUCGAUGUUGGAUUAAAAUUAAAGUUUGGUGCAGAAAUUAAACUUUUUAGGUCUGUUCGACCUUUAAAAUUUUACAUGAUCUGAGUUUAAACCGGUGUGAGCCAGGUUGGUUUCUAUCUUUAAAUAAUUAAAAUAUUUUAGUACGAAAGGACCAGAUAUUAUAAAAAUUUUUUUUAUAUUGAAUUAUAUUAAUAAAUA
rnacentral:rRNA from 1 species